rnacentral:rRNA from 1 species
GACAGAGGUGCCAAGCGUUAGGCGGAAUCACUGGGCUUAAAGCGUGUGUAGGCGGAUUGGUAAGUACCUUGUGAAAUCCCACAGCUCAACUGUGGAACUGCUUGGUAUACUGCCUGUCUUGAGCCACUUAGGGGCUGUCGGAACAAACGGUGGAGCGGUGAAAUGCGUAGAUAUCGUAAGGAAGACCAGUGGCGAAGGCGGGUCUCUGGACAGUUCCUGACGCUGAGGCACGAAGGCCAGGGGAGCAAACGGG